AAAUUUUCCUGUAUGGUCAACUUGCAAGAUGUGGAACGGAAACUGUGAAACAGAUUAGGUGGGAUUUGGACCAUGUCAUUACCCUUGUUUCAGAUUGACUGAUGGCAUUUCUAGGAUCAGGACCAUAGGGAUACUGUGUCAGAGUGGUAACUGCAUUCUGGAAAUGGAUGCAUAACAUGACUAAAGGCCUGUUCCUCCUUAAUGUAUCUAAUUAAAGCUUGCCUCAAAUAUUAA